rnacentral:lncRNA from 1 species
CUCUCCUGCUCUGCCAUGGGAAGAUGUGCCUACUUCCCCUUUGCCUUCCACCGUGACUGUACAUUUCCUGAGGACUCCCUAGCCAUGCUUUCUGUACAGCCUGCUGAACUCUCUGCCCAAAUUUCAGCUGUCACAGAAUGAGUGAUCCUCAUAGUAUAAUGGAAAUGCAUCAUCUCAGUUUCCCCAUGGCCUGAAUGUCCAUACAAAAUGAGAGCCAGUAGAGAAAAACAGAGGACGUGAGGAGUUUUUAAAAAUUGAGGAAAAGUGGAAGGAAAAGUAAGGAUGAAGGUGAAGAUGAAGGAAUAUGUCAGAGAUGCUAGCACUGGCAUCCCCCACCACACAGUACCAUGUACUGCUAAAGAACUCUAGAACAUACAGGGUGUAGACGGCAGUCUUCUUGGGGAAAAAGAGGCUUCAGGAUUGCAAGAUUUCAGCUACUGUCUCUCCUCGGAGCAGGAUUCCAUCUUUUCCAUGGCUGGGGCCCUUGACACAUGUCACUGUGCACUGCUCUUCUCGCUGGGAAAAGGAAACUGAGGCCCAGAGAGGGCAAGUGAAUUUCCCAAGAGUGUCCAGAUGAUACGGAGCUGAGCUGGAAAGUGAGCCUGGAUCUCUCUGGUUCUGAAAGCUUUGCUCGAAAGCACAGGAUGACACCUCCAUUCAAUCAAUAAGCACUGAGACCCUUCCAUGGACUCAGCAGGUCCUGCUGUCCCUGAAGGUUGACACUCUCAUUUCAAACCACAGCGAGAACCCCAAAAGGAAACAGUGCAAGGAAAAUAAUGUGAUAUUUGAGAGGCAGCAUGGAUUAUUGGGGACAGGGUUCAUGUCCCUUCUCUCCCACACACGUGGCAUGAUGUUAAGCGGGUCACCUCACCUCUCCAGGGUUGUUUCCUCAACUGAGAAAAUGAGGGGGUUGAGAUGAACGCCAGCCCUGGGGUGCUCAAUGCUGCAGUCUAGGGUGGUGUGGACUGGAAUCAGAAUUCUUUCUCCUCCGCUCUGGGUGCUGACACAUGAUCUCUGGCUCUCACUCCCCACCCCUAAUCUUGCCCAUCUGAGUUUCAGGUUAUUUUUUCCUUCCUCCUGCUCUUCAAUUUCCUUAUUGAGGAAGCUCUUUCCUGCUGCCUCUGUCCCCGCUGGAGCUGUUUGAUCCAGUAGAGCCAGUCGAAGCCAAGGGGACCCUGACUUGAAUCUUGCUUUCUGACAUGCUGGCUGUGGCUUGCUUGGGACCUGAAUAAGAGCUUGCUUACUCCCGGUGUUCACCACAGCGGAACCAUGGGUGCAGAAAUGUAAUUCUCAACCAGCCCAGUUUAAUCAGCGAAAGACAAUAGAGCUUGCAGGCGGUGUCAUGCUGAGUAUCUGAACACACCAUGGCUGCUGUCGCCCUUUUCAUUAAAAUGAUUGAAAAUGUAUUUCUAAACAGAAGUGAGGGUCCCUGUCUAAAUCAAGCCGCUGUAUUGGGCUUAUUGUCCCGAUCUGAAGUGCUUCAGCUUCUAGUGCUUCUCAAUAGAAGUUCAUUAUUACAACGAUAAUAACAACUGUAUAGAUACACAGAAAAGAAGUUCCCAUUUCAUAAGGAAAAAAGAAACUCAUUCAAACCAAGAGAGAAUGAAAAUUGCUCUUGUUCAGCAGCUCUACAAUUCCUGCUUUCCCUUUCUGCUGGAAAGGAAGUUGAAUUUAAAAGCUUAUCUUGGUUCGAUUUUCUUUUUCCCUAAACCAAAAUAGAAUAGCUAUUUAGCUUGAAAAUUUGUAAGAGCUCAAGUCAAUUGGUUAACCAAACACACACACACACACACACACACACUUACAUGCGCAUCUUAAUAUCCUCAUUAUAUAAAAUCUCAAUCACCAAAAAUGACCCCCAAAAUUAUAAGACUCCAAUAUAUGAUUGAGCAAAGGACAUAAACAGAUGGUUCAUAAGGAGGAAAGACACAUGAUAAAAAAUAUGAAAAAAUUUUCAACACACAGAUAAUAAAAGAAAUUCAGAUGAUAACGAGAUAUUGUAGGUGCUAAUCAAAGUAUCAAAGAUUUUAAAAAUUAUAGCAAAAGAGUUCCUUGCUUUUGUGUAAUGAGUUCCCAGAUAAUAUGUGAAAUUCACUCAUCCUCUUCCAAAUCAACAUUACUGUCUGUGAAAUGAACAAUACAACCAAGCACACAGAUCCUAGCCUCUGCUGGGAAAAUCCCGUGUAAAUCCACCAUCCUUUUUGUUUCUUAAGUUCCUCCUUGGUAAAAAGUUGUUUGGCUCAUGCCUGUAAUCCCAGCACUUUGGGAGGCCGAGGCAGGCAGAUCACCUGAAGUCAGGAGCUCGAGACCAGCCUGGCCAACAGGGUGAAACCCCAUCUUUACUAAAAAUACAAAAAUUAGCUGGGCGUGGUGGCGAAUGCUUGUGAUCCCAGCUACUUGGGAGGCUGAAGCAGGAGAAUCACUUGAACCCGGGAGGCAGAGGUUGCAGUGAGCCGAGAUCGCGCCACUGCACUCCAGCCUGGGCAGAAGAGUGACACUCCAUCUCAAAAAAAAAAAAAAAAUGUUGUUUGUGUUCAGAUUCUGAAAUUUCACAAUUCUCCCCAGGUACUGUUUUUCUUUGCCCCAAAGCCUUUAAGUCUUCGUUGAUGGAUAUGUAGACACCUAAUAAGUAUUUGACCUGAAAGUGUCUUUCAAAGCAUAGAAUUCAGAUGGUGAUUUUACAAAUGAAGAGAGUGAGGCUCACACAUUCUGAAGGGGGGAGUCAGGCUUUUUACCAUAAAAGUUUUUCCUUGGGGUAAUGGUCAAUAUCCACCAAAAUCCAGGUGGCACAUGCUUGAUACCCUUCUGAAAAGACUUAGUCUACUUCACUACUGGUUUUAGCAGGGUAGAGCCAGGGUCUCAGAACACAAUGAGCUGCUCAGGUGAAAGAAGAUCACACUAGGAUUUCUGCUUUCUAAUGCACCAUCCUUUUUAAAUUUUCAUUUUUCUUACUGUUAUAAUGUAUAGGUUAGUAGAGCACUUUACUUCUUGGGGAUACAUAAUUAAAGUUGUUUUGCUGGUAGGAUAGUGUUAUCAAAAAUUUGCAGGCAGCUGGAAUAGUGAGAUGUGAAUGUGUCUGAUCUCGUGCAAUUCAGGAAGCAGGGCCUUCAGAGUGAAGGGAGGAAGGAAAGCUGGCUGUGGUCAGAGGAGAUGACCAGCAGAGCUCCUAAUAGAGGGCAAGAGUCACCUCCUCACCCCACAGGCUGCAUUGAGACUAAGGCAACUGGAAAGUUCAACUGAAUCACAAGGGCGUGCUGACAUGCUGGGGAAAAGCCAAAAUUUUUAAAGGUCAUCUUGCCAGAAAAGUGGCUGCUGCUUAGGUCCUGUCCUGGCACCCUGGGCCCAGGAUCCCAGGACUCAGCUCAUGGGGAGCAGAGGGCUGUGGCAUGCCAAGUCAAAGGUCUCAUGGAGAUGGUUCCAAUUGGGAAUCAAUGGCAGAGAUGCCAAGACAAGCUAAGGGGCAUGGCAAUCUGAGGAUCCAAGCCACCUAGCACAGACACAGGGACAGGCAAGGGAACUAGAGACCUUAGCAGCUUGUCAGAGGGGAAGCGGAAGGCAGCAGGGGCCCAGAAGCAAACUCCCUAUGUCAGAUAGAGGUGUGUGCAGUGAAAAUGAAGGGGGAACCAGAACCCCUUGCAGGAAAUGUCCAGUGGAACUCCAUGAAGUCCCUCGAGUCGUCUUUGAACCGCUGAGCCAGGUAUUAGAGGACCCACAGCACACUUCUGAGCCUCGUUUCUGUCUCUCUUACCUACCACAAACUCUGGACAAUCAGCUCGCACAUUUGUUCCUUUAUUCCCAAGGAGAACAUGAGGAAAGGACGUAGAUAUCACCCAAAUGUAUAAUUUACCAGGUAAGAAAAGCCCAAUGGCUUUCUAAUUAUUUCUGGAUGUCCCAGCAGCCUCUGUCAGGAGUGCAGGUGUAAGUAGCCUCAUGUGCCUUUGCUCCGGCCUCCUUGUGGGAGUCCAGUACCCCAACCCCAUCUUGGGAGAUGCCGCUGGUCCAACCUCAGGAUCUCCUAAUGGAGUCAAGAGGUAAGGCUGAUUUGAAUUCACCCUUCUUCUCCUUAAAGCUAGUGCAACUCACAGAAAAUUGAGAGCCAAAUGGGAAACAAACUGUCAGUUUUCCUAACGGGUAGGCAGGUGUGUCUUAACCCCCAAGGCUUUCUGGGGGAGCCAGAGAGGAGAAAGUGACUUAGACCUGAGGACAAAGGAGAUCCACCUGCUUCUCUAAUUGUAGACCUUAAGCCUGCCUGUCACAUGGACUGUAGCGUACUGAGCACAGGGGUGGUGCCGGGCAGGUACAGCUCCCAGCACUCUGCUGUGGACAUCCUAACUCGCUAGAAGUUGACUCAGUCACAAACUAUCUAAGUUUAUAGCUGAAGCUCUAGCACCUGUUCUAGAACAGGAGAAUCUGAAGGAGGAGAUGAACUGAAUUUAGCACUGAUUUUCUUUAAAAAUAUUUAUAGAAACUAUAACAUUUCUGAGUUAUCUAGAAAUGUUAUUUUUGUUUAGUUUGGCUUUCUUUUUUUUUGCUUUCAUCUGAAAAUUAAACAUUUUGAGGUAAUUGUAGAUUCACAUGCACUUGUAAGAAAUAAUACAGGGAGAUCCCUCUAUCUUUCACCCAGUUCCUCCAACUUGGUAGUAUCUUGCCAAACCAUUGUACUAUUUCAUACCAGGACAUUGACAUUGAUACCAUCAAAAUACAGACAAUUUCCUUGGCUACAAGAGUCCUCCACAUCCACUUCCCUCCUGCACCCACCCCUUCCUUAAUCCUUGGCAACCACUGUUCUCCAUAUCUAUAAUUUUGUCUUUGCAGGAAUGUUAUAUAAAUGGGAUUAUACAGUAUGUAAUCUUUUGGGAUUGCACUGUUUUUUUAUUUGCAGCAUAAUCCUCUGAAAGUUGUUGCAUGUAUCAAUAGCUUUUUAAUCUUUAUUGCUGAAUGGUAUUCCAGGGUAUGGCGUACUACAGUUUGUUUAACCAUCCACCUGUUGAAGGAUAUCUGGGCCGCUUCCAGUUUGGGCAAUUGCAAGAUGCUACAGACAUUGAUAUACAGGCUUUUUCAGACACUCUGAUCCAGACCACCCCACUGCUAGGAGAGUCUCCUGGUGGGGGACUCUAUUACUUUGCAUGAGGCUACCUUCUCACAUGGCUGCCCUGCUGACACCCCAUUGACUCCAGGGAAGGAAAUGGAAGGCUGAGACAGGAGAAGACAAAGGAAAGAGAGAGGGAAGGAUGGCGGUGGAGAGAAGAGAAAGGGAAAAGACAUUCUUGCUUGGAUCCCUACAGCAUUCCUGUCUGAUGGUUGAAGCUGGUACUAUUCUCCUUGUCCAGAUUUCCAAAAGACCUUGGCUCAGGUGUCACUUUUGCAGAAAAGCAUUUACUGACUGUUGACUUGGCCAAAUCCCUGUGCUGUGUUUCCUAGUACGGUAAAUCAACUGUAUCCAGUAGUGGGACAGAUGCAGCAUGAAAGAAGAAAGUUACAAUUGCUUUAUCUGAUGCUGUCACUCAUGCCUGGUGUUGAGAGGCGCACAUUUUAAAAAGUCUAAUAGCUCCGACAUAUCUAGGAAACAGAUGGGAAACAAAUGAAGCAUUGAUGGAUUCGCAAAUUCCAGUUCUUUGAUAUUUGUCUGCCCAGGAAUGGGUGGGACAGAGAAAUGUAAGGGAAUAAUGAGGAUACGGGUGGGGAAAGGCUUGCAAUUUUUCCCGUUCUUCUUUGGAUAUGGACUGAAGGAAGGAUGUGGGGAGGAGGUGUUUAUCUUUUGCUUGUACUCUGAACUUUUCCAAAGUUACUGCAUUCCUUGGGAUAUAAAACUGUAAUCAAGAGUCUCUAAUGGAUAACUGCAAUUAUGCAUUGAGUCAUUCAACAAAUACACAUUAAUACUGACUAAAUUAAGCUCGAAUGGAACUUCAGGGCAAAAGAACAGAGAAAAUAAAAUACCACUAGAGAAGGGAUCUGUGCUCUUUCCUGGACUUAAAUCUCCCACAGCCAGCACGUUUGACAGUUAAACUAGUCAAGCAAAUUAGCACAGGCCCAGAGGAUGAAAUCAAGGUGGGGGCAGGUAAGGUUCACAUAAUAAACACUCUCCCUAGACCCUGGACCUAGGGACAAUACUUCAGGAAGAAUUUUUUUUAUUAAUCUCAUUUAUUCAUUCAUGUAUUCACCAAGUAGUUAUUGAAUACCUCCAUGUGCCAGUCACCUUCAUAGGCUCUGGGAACACAGAGACAAAUGGGGUGCAGCUUUUGCCUUCGAGGACCGCCUGAUAAUGGAGGAGCAUGCUUGUUGUACUGUCCCCACACUUCUUUUUUUUUUAAUUUUACUUUAUGUUCCCGGAUACAUGUGCAGAACUUGCAGGUUUGUUACACGGUAUACGUGUGCCAUGGUGGUUUGCUGCACCUUUUAACCUGUCAUCUAAGUUCUCUCCCCUCGCCUCCCGCCCCCCAACAGGCCCCGGUGUGUUUUUGUUCUUCUCCCUGUGUCCAUGUGUUCUCAUUGUUCAAGCCCCAACUUAUGAGUGAGAACAUGUGGUGUUUGGUUUUCUGUUCCUGUAUUAGUUUGCUGAGGAUGACGACUUUCAGCUCCAUCCAUGUGCCUGCAAAGGACAUGAUCUUGUCCCUUUUUAUGGCUGCAUAGUACGCCCCCUGCACUUCUAAUAAAGAUGGCGCCAGGAAGGAAAGCCCAGUUUGCCUCAUUCCAGAAUGCCCCAACUUCUGCCAAAGAGGAGGUUUCCUCCAUUCACCUGUCCAUUUGGAACACAAUGAAAAUACAGAAUAUGCAGAAUAUGCAGAAAAUACAGAAUAUACAGAAAUAGAUGUAUAUGAAUAUACAUCUAUUUAAGAAAAAUUCACAAGGCCCCAAACUACUCUAGCUUUCCUAGGAAGUAGAGAAGACCCCCUCAAAAAAAAACACUGGCAAACUGAGCCUGCUAUUGGGGAAGGAAAUUCAAGACCAGGAAGGUCAGGACAUGUAUUCAUUAAAUGGCUAUAACACCUCAAUCCAAAUGCAGAGAAAUCUGAUGUACACGCUCCAAGAUAAGCAUCUCUAAGGUACAGUCAGUGGUCAAUUUUUCAACAUUUAUUUAAUAUCUUGCUAUAUUUAUGGCAUCGUGAAAUAGAUGCUGUAUUCCUUCUCUGAAAAUUUUCAAUUGAGGUGGGGACAUGAAUAAAUGUAUUAACCCAUUUAUGCCGGAGGUUGCAAUUUUUGUUUUCUGAAAAAUCAGACCUUGGUGAUGACCUUGAGCGGUAGGAUAUAAAAACUCCCAAAAGCCUAGCGUUUUAAUAAUGGAACACUAGGCAUAAGUAGCUUAAAACAGCAUAGAAAAGUCAUGUAAACUAUACAACAGUCAUGUAGAUAUGGUGCAUAUGGAGACACAGGGUUCCUGGGAAGGGCAAACCAUGGUACAGAGUUUACCAGGGAAGAGUUCCUAGGAGAAAUGAGCUUGGAACUGGAUGUUGGAAGAUCAUCACCAUGUGUGGUGGGGCAAGUCUUCAGCCAAACUUCCCUGGGGCUUUUUUUACUCAUCAAAAAAUGAGUACAAUGCACACAGAUUACAUGAAUUUUGUAAGGAUAAAAUAUGACAACAUUAGUAUGGCAUCCAUGCACAUAGGAGGCACUAAUGAAUAUCACAUUCCUUUCCCUUUUCUAUUUUAUGCUUUCCAUACUUGAUAUUAUUUAAUGAUAGAAAUGUUGAUGAAAAUAAGGAAUAGUACACCUCUCACACUUUCUAUAUUGAGCAUGCAUUACUCUUAACACAGAAAAAAUAAAGCACAAGAUUAAAAUAGUGUUUUAUUUGUAGAGUUUUGGUCUGAAAGAAGUUAACAGGUCCUUAGUAGUCACUUCACAGCAGAAAAUCAAAUGAGGGCUUCCCAGCCACACAGAAAUGUUAUUUUAAUCUGAUGUUCAGUGCCCUUCAGUUGCUAGUUAGACCCGCUUAGACUGAAACAGAUGCCACAAAUGCAAUGCUAUGUUCACCACCCAGUCGCUUUCCAAACACAGGGUAAGGAUUCAGGUCACUGUCCCCCAUCGACAAAAGAGCUUGAGCAUCACUGUCAUUGCUUCAUGCAGUCACAGCCCCGCUGGGAGGGACAGCCAUGACCCAGGCAGGUCUUGCCGGUAUCGGUGGUCAGAGACCAGGGACAGAAGAUGCACUGCCUGGAGUUGUCUUCUCCCAGGCAGCGUGCAUGGCUGCCUUGCAAGCACAGGCUUGCCCCAUCCGAAGCUCCAUCUUUGCUCAGGCUCAGAGAGGAAAAAUUUGCCAGCUGCGAGUGAAAAAUGUUCAGACCUCGAAAUCUUUCUGCAGCCCAUACUGGGUCACACUUGCAAUGCCCAAUACAAUUUUUGGCUAAGAAAUGCUUGUAAUUCAGAGAUAAACCUACGAUUGCAGGUUAUAUCACGGCGAGGAAAAAUUUGCUUUCCAGAGAAAUAUCACUUAUCUCAGACUUUUUAAUUCCUCUGAAAAAAAUAGGGGUUUAAGAAAUGGUGGCUCAGCUAUGAGUUCCAUCUCCGGUUACUAAGGCUUAUGUUCUGUUACAGGCUCAAUUUUCCUCCCUAAAAAUGACAUUGAAGUCCUAACCCGCAGUACUUCAGAAUGAUUACAUUCUGGUGACAUCUCUUCAGAAACAGGGUCUUCUUAGAGGUAAUCAAUCUGAAAUGAGGUGACUAGGGUGGACCUUAAUCUAAAAUGACCAGUGUCCUUUUAAAGAGGGGAAUUUUGGACACAGAGGCAGACAUGCCGAGGAGGAAGACAACAUGAAGAAGCACAGGAAGAAGACGGCCAUCCACAAGCCAAGGAAUGCUUUGGCCAGCAGUGCCCAACCUUUUUGGCACCAGGGACCAGUUUCACGGAAGACAAUUUUUCCAUGACUGUGGGUGGGGGAGGGGGAGUGAAUAGUUUCAGGAUGAUUCAAGCACAUUACAUUUAUUGUGCACUUUAUUUCUAUUACUACUACAUUGUAAUAUGUAAUGAAAUAAUUAUAUAACUCACCAUAAUGUAGAAUCAGUGGGAGACCUGAGCUUGUUUUCCUGCAACUAGGCAGUCCCAUCUGGGGGUGAUGGGAGAAAGUGACAGAUCAUCCGGCCUUAGAUUCUCAUAAGGAGCAUGCAACCUAGAUCCCUAGAAUGCGCGGUUCACAAUAAAGUUGGCACUCCCGAGAGAACUGAAUGCUGCCACUGAUCUGACAGGAGGCAGAGCGGUGAUGCGAGCGAUGGAGAGUGGAUGUAAAUACAGAUGAAGCUUUGCUUGCUCGCCCACUGCUGUGUGGCCUGGUACUGGUCUGUGGCCCAGGGUUUGGGGACCCCUGCUUUAGGCUACCAGAAGCCAGGAGUAAGGCCUGAAAAAGAUGCUUCCCCAGUGCCUUCAGAGGAAGAAUGGCUUUGCGAACACCUUGAUUUCAGACUUCUGGCUUCUGUAGCUGUGAGACAAUCCAUUUCUGUCAUUCUUUUUUUUUUGAAAUGGAGUCUCACUCUAUCGCCAAGGCUGGAUUGCAGUGGCACGAUCUCGGCUCACUGCAAGCUCUGCCUCCCGGAUUCAUGCCAUUCUCCUGCCUCAGCCUCCCAAGUACCUGGGACUACAGGCGCCGGCCACCACGCCUGGCUAAUUUUUUUUUUUUGUUUUGUAUUUUUAGUAGAGAUGGGGUUUCACCAUGUUAGCCAGGAUGGUCUCGAUCUCCUGACCUCGUGAUCCGCCCACCUCGGCCUCCCAAAAUGCUGGGAUUACAGGUGUGAACCACUGCACCCUGCCACAUUUCUGUUCUUCUAAGCCACCCAGUUCAUGGUACUUUGUUAUGGCAUCCCUAGGAAAUGAACAUGUGUGCAGUAGAGCAUUUUCCCACUAAAAGGUAAAGACAUCCAAGUUCCACCUAGACAAUUACAGGGUUGCAAGACUCCUGGACAGGGGAAACAAACCAAAGAAAUCGCUCAUUGGAAAUAGGUGUGACCAGAUUUGGUGCUCUUCCCAUAAUGUGGGCUGGGGCACUUGGUUCUGUCCUCACCUUCAUGUACCUUCUGUUUUCUAUUUUAACAAAUAAAUCUCAAUUGCUUAGGGUACUCAGUUCCAUGAUGUGUUUGUUUUUCUGCAACUCAGCUCACCCUCUCCUCCUCAGAGAGGCAGACCUAAAGUUCCUGAGAACAGGGCACCCAUGUCAGAGACUUGUGGAAGAGGGACCAGGUCUCUGGGCUUCUCUGCUUCCUGCUGGAUUUUGCUGUUUUCUCUAGGGCUCUGUUUAAUGGUGCUGUGCCGGGAGAGUGAUUUCUGCACUAUCUUUCUGGAAUUGGGAGGGGCACAGAAGCAGGAAAAGUGAAUUCCAGGAAAGUUGUUGCAUGUUGGAAGCUGUGUUGUGGGGAAGUGACAAGUUGCUUGCUAUCUGAAUGGGGAUGGGAUCCUUUGUGAAGGCAGCAUGAAUCACCAACAGGUAGGAUUAGAUGGAUGAUGGUUGUAUUUGGAAUUGUAGCCACACCCUUGGGACUGCAGCCCUGUGAAGACUGAGGUUCUGACGAAAGUCAAGAAAAAUCUGCAUUGCAACUCUUCGAAGAGAAGAAUGUGACAUCUUGUGUCGUUUUCCAGAGGCAGCUGCAUAAAUCACAGGAGACUGAAUACAGGAGAAGAUGUAAGAAUCCAGUCAGCUUCUAUCAAACCAGACAUAAAAGACAUUUGCAGAUAUGUAAAACAAUGCCACUCUUCACAUUGCAUUUUUAAAAAAUAUUAUUUCCCAGAAAAUAUAUCAUCUAUGUUAAUAUGGAAUGGGGUUUGUUAUUCUUAUUUUAAGUAAGGUAUUAUAUAAAUAUUUUUAAUGUCUCAGUUUUAAUUUCUAAUGAAGUCAAUAUCAAUAGAUGUAAUCUAUAUAAACCAAAGUUCUCCGGGGUCUUCAAGAGUGUAAAGGAGUCCUGAGAUCAAAAGGGAUGAAAACCUCUGCCCUACCCUGGCCACCUAAGGGGCUGAAGCCCUCCAGGAGCAGUGCUCCCGGCUCUUGCUGCUGCCCCAGAGCUGAGGGUUUUGGAGCACUGGUGCCCUACAAAACGGAGAGACUGGAAGGAGUUUUCUGGGUCAUGAGGUUGGAACUGCUGGCAGAAGAUCACAGCAUAACUUUCUUCUGGGUUAUAGGAAGAAAUAUAUAAGUAGA